AUGGACAUCGGCGGCGGCAGCGGCGGCGGUGGCGAGGAGGAGGAGCGGGACCGGGCCGCCGGCGCCGGCAGCAGCCAGCCGCAGCGGAUGAAGAUCGGCUGGCCCACCGACGUGCGCCACGUCGCGCACGUCACCUUCGACCGCUUCCACGGCUUCCGCGGCGUCCCCGCCGAGCUCCAGCCCGAGCCCGCCCUCGCCAAGGCCCCCAGCGCCAGCAAGACGGCGUUCGGCGUGUCGACGGAGUCGAUGCAGUGCGCGCACGACGCGCGGGGGAACAGCGUGCCCACCAUCCUGCUCCUCCUGCAGCGCCGCCUGUACGAGCAGGGCGGGCUCAAGACGGAGGGCAUCUUCCGCGUGGCCGCCGACGGCGCGCAGGAGCAGCGCGUCCGGGACCAGCUCGACCUCGCCGCCUCCGUGCCGGAGGACGCCGACGUGCACUGCCUCGCGGGGCUCAUCAAGGCCUGGUUCAGGGAGCUGCCGGGCGGCCUGCUGGACGCGCUGCCGGAGGAGGAGGUGGCGCGCUGCGCCACGGAGGACGCGGCGGCCAGGUUGAUCGGUAAGCUGCCGGCGGCCAAGGCGGCGUUGCUCGACUGGGCGGUGCAGCUCAUGGCGGACGUGGCGAGCGAGGAGGCGCGGAACCGGAUGGGCACGCGCAACGUCGCCAUGGUCUUCGCGCCCAACAUGACGGAGGAGGUGGAUCCUCUGACGGCGCUCAAGUACGCGGUGCAGGUGAUGAACUUCCUGAACCUGCUCAUCGAGCGGGCGCUCCGACAAAGGCAGCAAGACCAGAAGAAGAAGCAACCUAAAUAG
rnacentral:rRNA from 1 species